GAUUUAUUUUAUUUACAGGAAUUUACUGUACAGCAUCAGCAAGGAGUGCAAUUUCAGAUCUUUGUGUCUGCUGCAGGAUGUAUGCUUUGCAGCUUGGAUUGUUAAAACAUGGGCCGAGGCUUCCAUACAAGAACGAACUUCAACUUGGCUCUACCACCAUCAGCACUUGGCUGGCGCCUGCCGAAUGAAUCAUCGCAGGUUUUGCUUGCCUGUGUCUACAAGAACCUUCACACGUGACCUGCGACAGAAAGCAUUUGUGGGCAGCCAGUGCUCUCCUACAAAGACUGGCCUGCUCAGGCUGCGGCAGCAAUCAUCCUCGAGUUCUAUGCAUGGCCACCUUUGCUGCUAUUUGUCACUCUUGUUAAUUACCCGUUCUGCAUAUCUUCUCAUUUAUUAGGUAAUAAAGUUUGAC